GACGGAGGAGGCAAGCGUUAUCCGGAAUUAUUGGGCGUCAAGCGUCCGCAGGCGGUUAGUUAAGUCUGUUGUCCAAGUUCACAGCUCAGCUCUGGGAGGGCAAUGGAAACUGAUUAACUUGAGUGUGGUAGGGGUAGAGGGAAUUCCCGGUGUAGCGGUGGAAUGCGUAGAUAUCGGGAAGCACACCAGUGGCGAAGGCGCGCUACUGGGCCAUGACUGUCGCUGAGGGGCGAAAGCUAGGGGAGCGAAAGGG
rnacentral:rRNA from 1 species